rnacentral:rRNA from 1 species
UACGUAGGUGGCAAGCGUUGUCCGGAUUUAUUGGGUUUAAAGGGUGCGUAGGCGGCCCCAUAAGUCAGUGGUGAAAUACGGCAGCUCAACUGUCGAGGUGCCAUUGAUACUGUGGGGCUUGAGUACAGACGAGGUAGGCGGAAUUGACGGUGUAGCGGUGAAAUGCUUAGAUAUCGUCAAGAACACCGAUAGCGAAGGCAGUUCUCUGGGCCUUACCUGACGCUGAGGAGCGAAAGCGUGGGGAGCGAACAGG